UACAGAGGGUGCAAGCGUUGUUCGGAAUUAUUGGGCGUAAAGGGCGCGUAGGCGGUGCGGUAAGUCUGUAGUGAAAUCUCCCGGCUCAACUGGGAGGGUGCGCCGAAUACUGAGCGACUAGAGUGCGGGAGAGGAAAGUGGAAUUCCUGGUGUAGCGGUGAAAUGCGUAGAUAUCAGGAGGAACACCGGUGGUGUAGACGGCUUUCUGGACCGUAACUGACGCUGAGACACGAAAGCGUGGGUAGCAAACAGG
rnacentral:rRNA from 1 species